rnacentral:rRNA from 1 species
AGUGAACGCUGGCGGUAGGCCUAACACAUGCAAGUCGAACGGCAGCACAGUAAGAGCUUGCUCUUACGGGUGGCGAGUGGCGGACGGGUGAGGUAUACAUCGGAAUCUACUUUUUCGUGGGGGAUAACGUAGGGAAACUUACGCUAAUACCGCAUACGACCUACGGGUGAAAGCAGGGGAUCUUCGGACCUUGCGCGAUUGAAUGAGCCGAUGUCGGAUUAGCUAGUUGGCGGGGUAAAGGCCCACCAAGGCGACGAUCCGUAGCUGGUCUGAGAGGAUGAUCAGCCACACUGGAACUGGGACACGGUACAGACUCCUACGGGAGGCAGCAGUGGGGAAUAUUGGACAAUGGGCGCAAGCCUGAUCUAGCCAUACCGCGUGGGUGAAGAAGGCCUUCGGGUUGUAAAGCCCUUUUGUUGGGAAAGAAAAGCAGCAGGUUAAUACCCCGCUGUUCUGACGGUACCCAAAGAAUAAGCACCGGCUAACUUCGUG